UUAAUUUUAUUUGAAAUUCUUAUUUCUACAACAGCUAGGUUUCAAAAUGAGGGAUGGCAAUAUUUCCGUGGAAGUCUUUAUUACGUCUCUACAACCACUGCAAACUGGCAGGCCAGUAGAAACUACUGUACUUCUAAGGGAGCAGACCUGGUGGUCAUCAAUGACGCUGCUGAAAACAAUUUCGCCAGAGGAUUUAAACGCAAGGCCUGGAUUGGACUGUACAAAUCAGGAUCCACAUGGAAAUGGGUGGAUGGACGUAUCCUGACAUCUAGUGUCAGCUAUUGGGGUCCAACAGAACCUAACAAUCUUAGAAACCGUGAAGAUCGUGUGGAAAUAGGGAUCUACAACAGCUUCAACAGCUGGAAUGAUGAACCAGGGACCACUAUUAACUACUGGAUCUGUGAAAAGAAAGUUGUUUAGUGAAAACACUGAGAACUUUCUGAUGCUUCAGUAACAUUAGCUUGAUAUUUGUUGAGGUUAAAACCUUGAUGCAGAUCAUCUGCUGUCCUUUCUGCUUCACUUUUCAGACAUAAUGAAAACAUUAAUCUGUGGGUAUAAUGGGGUUGAUUAAGGAAUUUAAUCUUUUACUGCUACUGCAUACUAUUCUGUGGCUCAAUAAAGCAUCGCAAAAUGAA